UCUGCCUCCAUACAAAGCCAUGGGACAGCAACUAAAGGACUAAAGGGUCUAAGACUGAGUAAAAUCAGCCUUUGUUCCUUGAGGCCAUUUUGUCACAUGGACAGGAAGCUGAGUAACACAGCGCCCUAGGCCCGGGAUGAAUUUAGUAGGAACAAAAUAUAUUAACAGCAACCCGGUAGCCAUUCCUCAUAGGAUAUCCAUGUAAGUUCUGCAGAAGGAUUCAUGGUGGACCUCCUGAUGGUUGCAGGCCUGUCAUCCCAGCUACUGAGGAGAUGAAGGGAAGAGGAUUAAAGCGGAUAGCCAUUCUAGGCAAUUUAGUGAAACACCAUGACAAGAAUACAAGAACCCAGGACCACCAUCCAGGACUGGCACCACCCACAGUGGACUGGACCCUCUCCCAGCAGUCAUUAAUCAAGAAAAUGCCCCCACAGAAUUGUCUACAGGCCAUUAUGAUGAAGGCAGUUCCUCAGUUGAGAGUCCCUCUUCCCAGAUAUAAUCUAGGUUUGUCUCUAAUUGACAGAAAACAAGGAGUACAUCUGCUGAUAACGAUCCAAGCCACAGUGCUUGAGGACUAGU